CCCUUAGAUGUCCUGGGCCGCACGCGCGUUACACUGAUGCAUUCAACGAGCUUAUAACCUUGGCCGAGAGGCCUGGGCAAUCUUGUUAACGUGCAUCGUGAUAGGGAUAGAUUAUUGAAAUUAUUAAUCUUGAACGAGGAAUUCCUAGUAAACGCAGAUCAUCAAUCUGCAUUGAUUACGUCCCUGCCCUUUGUACACACCGCCCGUCGCUCCUACCGAUUGAAUGGUCCGGUGAAAUCUUCGGAUUGCUGGAUAGGAGGGCAACCACCUAUCUGCGAGAAGUUGCUUGAACCUUAUCAUUUAGAGGAAGGAGAAGUCGUAACA
rnacentral:rRNA from 1 species